GUCAGCUGCCAUGAGUAGGCCUUAAACAAACACCUUGUGUGCUGUCAUUGUUGGCCUGUGCGUUUCAGCACGAGGCUGGGCCACCACAGCCAAGUGUUUCAAUUCCUGAAGAGCUUCCAGAAGAAAUUAGUAUGUAAUGACCGCACUCUGCAAGAAGAAAGGCCCAUUAUGGCUCUCGCUGACUGUACUUGGCUUUCAUUUGCAAGCUAAAUGGAUGCGUGCGAAGAUACAUGAGGGUGCACAGCCAAAAGCGCUAAUUCGUGGCCCCGAGGGUGUUCAUUUCAUGUAA
ensembl:lncRNA